rnacentral:rRNA from 1 species
UACGAAGGGGGCGAGCGUUGUUCGGAUUUACUGGGCGUAAAGGGCGCGCAGGCGGCUCAUUUUGUCAGGCGUGAAAGCCCCGGGCUUAACCUGGGAACUGCGUUUGAUACGGAUGGGCUAGAGUUCGGGAGAGGAGAGUGGAAUUCCCAGUGUAGAGGUGAAAUUCGUAGAUAUUGGGAAGAACACCGGUGGCGAAGGCGGCUCUGUGGACCGAUACUGACGCUGAGGCGCGAAAGCGUGGGGAGCAAACAGG